GUGCUCACUUUGGUAGCACAUAUAUUCAAAUUAGAAUGAGACAGAGAAGAUUAGCAUGGCCCCUGUGAAAGCAUGACAAGCAAAUUCAUGAAGCAUUCCAUAUUUUU
ensembl:snRNA U6 U6 spliceosomal RNA